AACGUGUCGCGAUGGAUGACUUGGCUUCC
rnacentral:ncRNA from 6 species